rnacentral:rRNA from 1 species
UACGUAGGGGGCUAGCGUUGUCCGGAAUCAUUGGGCGUAAAGGGUGCGUAGGCGGCCUGGUAAGUCUGGCGUGAAAGCCCAGGGCUCAGCCCUGGAAGGGCGCUAGAAACUGCGAGGCUCGAGUGCCGGAGGGGAGAGUGGAAUUCCUGGUGUAGCGGUGAAAUGCGCAGAUAUCAGGAGGAACACCAAUGGCGAAGGCAGCUCGCUGGGACGGUACUGACGCUGAGACGCGAAAGCGUGGGGAGCAAACAGG